rnacentral:piRNA from 1 species
UAGACAAUGAAGCCGCGGGCGCCGCC